AGAGAGAGAGAGUUGCGACACUUCCAUUGGACUCCGUUGUAGCGCCUACUUCCGGGGUAUGGAGCCUCGAAUAGUUCCAAACAACCAUUUUACGGCGGAGGAGACCGUUCAUUUCCAUUGCUGGCCGCCGAGUAACUUCUGAGGGUGAUGUUCAGCACAUGAAGCCCUACAGAUGCCGCCGAUUCAACAAUGCUGAUUAUGAUGGGCGGUCAAUUUAACCUUUGCCUUAUUAGGUCCUCCACAGUCGCCCCAUCAGUCCCUGGCAGUCUGGUCCCUGGAGCAGCUGGCCCUGGCAAAAGUUAUUCCUUCACUGUUGACCCCUGACUGACUGGCCCUCGGCACACAAAUCCCUGGAUCACCUGCCCCUGGAUCACCUGCCCCUGGAUCACCUGCCCCUGGAUCACCUGCCCCUGGCAAUGUAACCUCUUGAUUGCUCUCUCCGUCUCCUGUGAUGUCCUUUUCAACGCUCUU